rnacentral:rRNA from 1 species
AUUGAACGCUGGCGGCAGGCCUAACACAUGCAAGUCGGGCGGAUGAAGGGAGCUUGCUCCUGGAUUCAGCGGCGGACGGGUGAGUAAUGCCUAGGAAUCUGCCUGGUAGUGGGGGAUAACGUCCGGAAACGGGCGCUAAUACCGCAUACGUCCUGAGGGAGAAAGUGGGGGGUCUUCGGACCUCACGCUAUCAGAUGAGCCUAGGUCGGAUUAGCUAGUUGGUGGGGUAAAGGCCUACCAAGGCGACGAUCCGUAACUGGUCUGAGAGGAUGAUCAGUCACACUGGAACUGAGACACGGUCCAGACUCCUACGGGAGGCAGCAGUGGGGAAUAUUGGACAAUGGGCGAAAGCCUGAUCCAGCCAUGCCGCGUGUGUGAAGAAGGUCUUCGGAUUGUAAAGCACUUUAAGUUGGGAGGAAGGGCAGUAAGUUAAUACCUUGCUGUUUUGACGUUACCAACAGAAUAAGCACCGGCUAACUUCGUG